CCUGUUUCGAUCUUUUAUCAUGUGGUUCUGACAAGUUUGAAGAUGUUGUGUUGUUGUUCGAUGAUUGUGAAACCUCGCUCUUGCCUCGUCCCUUGCGCUUCUUUGAUGCUGGUGUUGCCAUCAUUACAACGUACGUUUACCACUUAAUAGAUUAACAUCAAAUCUAAUAAUAUUUCUAUGAAUUUAAAAAUUUCUAAGUCAUUCAUAAAAAGCAAUUUAAUUAAAAAGAUCUUGUCUAUUAAAAAGUACAACUAAAAGUACGACCACGAACGCAG